rnacentral:sRNA from 1 species
CUUCGUCGACCUGUUGUGGGCAGAUGAAGUGGAUGUGGCUGUCGAUGCCGCCGGCGGUGACGAUGUUGCCUUCGCAGCUGAUGAUUUCGGUGCCGGGGCCAAUGACGAUGUCGACCCUCGGCAUGGUGUCGGGGUUGCCCGCUUUGCCGAUGGCCGCAAUGCGACCGUCUUUCAGGCCGAUGUCGGCCUUGACAAUGCCCCAGUGGUCGAUGAUGAGCGCAUUGCUGAGCACGGUGUCCAUCGCGCCCUCGGCGCGGGUGCGCUGGCUUUGCGCCAUGCCGUCGCGGAUG